rnacentral:lncRNA from 1 species
UCAAUGCCCCUAAAGAAAGACCUUGAAGAAGUCCCUGUGAUGAUGAUGAGAACAGUGAUGAGCCAAUAAGGGAACACAACACUAAGAGCAACACCAAGUGUGAUUCCAAGCAUGAGCAUAGGCUGAAACAAGAGUGCUAAAUCAUAAUCCAAUAUUGGUACUUCUCUGCAUGGAUGUGGUACUCUCAAAUUGUACCAAAAUGAU